rnacentral:lncRNA from 1 species
GACCAGAUCCAGCAAUAUGUCGAUUGUUAUAGGAUUGUCAUUACAGUAAUCAUUUUAAAAAGCUAUCCCUUAUAAAAAAUUGCUGCUUAUAAAGGUCUUUUCCUGUUUGGUGGUUCUCUUUAAGGGGCUCCUACUGAAGCUACAAUAAUUUUGGCUAGGAAAAAAUGCAAUAUAAAAGAAAUGCAAUAUAAUAUAAAUGGAGCUUUUUGAACAACAACUCACUAGUUAUGGAUAAUGAUUCUACCUCAGCGAUCAUGUGUGGAGAUUUCACCUUAUUUAUCCAACCUCUGCUUGUCUAAUUUCGUUCUUUCUGAAAUGACACUGGCAUUCUAUUCCUGUUCCCCCAACUAUUGCUAUUGUUGCUUCUGUGGUGGUGGUGUGACAUGAAGCCAUGUCCAACGUCCAAUGUUUGAUGACCCUACGGAUGAGUGACUUCUAAAAGAUCCUAUCAAUACCAACCUUCCUCAGCUCAAGGCUGUGGCUUCCUUUACUGUCCCUGGCUAUAGUGCUGGAAUGAAGAAAG